rnacentral:rRNA from 1 species
AUUGAACGCUGGCGGCAGGCCUAACACAUGCAAGUCGAACGGUAACAGGAAGCAGCUUGCUGCUUCGCUGACGAGUGGCGGACGGGUGAGUAAUGUCUGGGAAGCUGCCUGAUGGAGGGGGAUAACUACUGGAAACGGUAGCUAAUACCGCAUAAUGUCGCAAGACCAAAGAGGGGGACCUUCGGGCCUCUCGCCAUCGGAUGUGCCCAGAUGGGAUUAGCUUGUUGGUGGGGUAACGGCUCACCAAGGCGACGAUCCCUAGCUGGUCUGAGAGGAUGACCAGCCACACUGGAACUGAGACACGGUCCAGACUCCUACGGGAGGCAGCAGUGGGGAAUAUUGCACAAUGGGCGCAAGCCUGAUGCAGCCAUGCCGCGUGUAUGAAGAAGGCCUUCGGGUUGUAAAGUACUUUCAGCGGGGAGGAAGGGAGUAAAGUUAAUACCUUUGCUCAUUGACGUUACCCGCAGGAGAAGCACCGGCUAACUCCGUG